rnacentral:piRNA from 1 species
AAAACGUGAAUGCCAUCAUCUAACUUUGA